ACUACGAUAGUGACUAUGCCCACGGCUUUUGAUAGCUGGGGCCAAGGUAUCCGGGUCACUGUCUCCCAAGAGACCUCAUCCCGUCCAAAUCUCUUCCCCCUCAUCACCUGUGAGAGCUCCCUGUCCGAUGAGCCCCUGGUGGCCAUGGGCUGCCUGGCCCGGGACUUCCUGCCCAGCUCCGUCACCUUCUCCUGGAACUACAAGAACAACAGUGUGGUCAACAACCAGGACAUCCAGACCUUCCCUCCAGUCCUGAGAGAGGGCAAGUACGUGGCUACCUCUCAGGUGCUCCUGCCCUCCGUGGACGUCCUCCAGGGUUCAGAUGACUUCCUCACAUGCAAUGUGAAACACCCCAAGGGCAACAGUGAGGUGAACGUGCCCAUCCCAGUGCCUGUAGAGCUGUCCCCCAACGUGACUGUCUUCAUCCCACCCCGUGACGCCUUCUCUGACAACAACCAGCGCACGUCCCAGCUCCUCUGUCAGGCAACAGGCUUCAGCCCCAAGAAGAUCUCUGUGUCCUGGCUUCGUGAUGGAAAGCCCAUCAAGUCGGGCUUCAACCCAGGCAACGUGGAGGCUGAGAACCAAAGGCCCGGGCCCGUGACCUUCAGGGUGCUCAGCACGCUGACCAUCACCGAGAAUGCCUGGCUCAGCCAGAGCGUGUUCACUUGCAAUGUGGAGCACAAUGGGCUGACCUUCAAGAAGAACGUGUCCUCUGCAUGCAUCCUCAACACGCAGGCCAACAUCAGAAUCUUCACCAUUCCCCCCACCUUCGCCAGCAUCUUCCAAACCAAGUCGGCCAAGCUGUCCUGCAGGGUCGUAGACCUGACCACCCGCGACAGCCUGAACAUCUCCUGGACCCGCCAGAAUGGCGACUUUCUGCCAACCACCACCAUCUUCCAGAGCAACCUCAACAACACCUUCAGUGCCACGGGGGAGGCCACCGUCUGUGCAGAGGACUGGGAGUCAGGGGAGGACUUCACCUGCACGGUGACCCACACAGAUCUGCCCUCGCCACUGAAGAAGACCAUCUCUAAACCCAAGGACGUCAACAAGCAACCGCCCUCCGUCUACGUCCUGCCACCCAGCCGGGAGCAGCUGAGCCUGCGGGAGUCAGCCACAGUCACUUGCCUGGUGAAGGGCUUCUCACCCGCAGAUGUGUUCGUGCAAUGGCUGCAGAAAGGCCAACCCAUGUCCUCCGAGAGUUACGUGACCAGUGACCCGAAGCCCGAGCCCCAGGACCCCCACCUCUACUUUGUCCACAGCACCCUGACUGUGAGUGAGGAGGAGUGGAGCUCGGGGGAGACCUACACCUGUGUUGUGGGCCACGAGGCCCUGCCCCACAUGGUGACGGAGAGGAGCGUGGACAAGUCCACCGGUAAACCCACCCUGUACAACGUGUCCCUGGUCUUGUCUGACACGGCCACCACCUGCUACUGACCUGUGGGCCGCCCCACUCCGGGUGGAUCCCAGAGUCCCUGGGGAACCCGUCGCUGUGUGUGCAUGUGUGCAAACUAACCGUGUCAAUGGGGUGAGAUGUGGCGUUUUAUCAAAAUUAGAAAUAAAAACAUCCAUUCAAAAGA